rnacentral:ncRNA from 1 species
AUUCCUGUCUAAAAAGAUUAAGCAUUGGUACAAACGGCCAGUACAAUGAAAGUGUGAAUGACUCAUAUUAGCCAUGGUUCCUUUGAUUGCUCCAACGUUACUUGGAUGACUGCAGCAAUUAUAGCGCUAAUCCCUGCCAACAAGUGCUGCCCUUCGGGCAUGCGUGCAUUUAUUCAGACCAAAAACCCAUGCGGGGUACUCUGACAUUUUUGAUGACUAUAACCUCGACCAGUGGCGAGCCAUUCGUGGCGCUGACAUCGAAUUUGAAUGUCUGCCCUAUCAACUUUCGAUGGCUCUUUCUGUGUAUACCAUAGUGACCAGGGGAAUUGGGGUUAGAUUCCAGGGAGGGAAAACUAAGAAAAACUGCUACCACAUCCAAGGAAGGCACCAGCCACGCAAAUUACACACUCCCCACUCAAGGUGGUAGUGAUGAAAAGUAACAAUACAGGACUCGAUGCCUUGUAAUUGGAAUGAGUACAUUUUAAAUCCUUAAAAUGAUACAUUAGAUGUUUAGAAGUUGCAUUUUAAAAAGGGGU